AGCAGCCGCGGUAAUUCCAGCUCCAAUAGCGUAUAUUAAAGUUGUUGCAGUUAAAAAGCUCGUAGUUGAAUUUCGGGGUUCUACCGUUGGUCGGGCUAUUGUCUGUACUGGCGUGUAGAAUUUCUACCUUCUGGGGAACUAUCAUGUUAUUAAUUUAGCGUGGUAGGAAACCAGGACCUUUACCUUGAAAAAAUUAGAGUGUUCAAAGCAGGCUUAUGUCUGAAUACAUUAGCAUGGAAUAAUAAAAUAGGACGGUGGUCCUGUUUUGUUGGUUUCUGAAUCACCGUAAUGAUUAAUAGGGAUAGUUGGGGGCAUUAGUAUUCAAUUGUCAGAGGUGAAAUUCUUGGAUUUAUUGAAGACUAACUACUGCGAAAGCAUUUGCCAAGGAUGUUUUCAUUAAUCAAGAACGAAAGUUAGGGGAUCGAAGACGAUCAGAUACCGUCGUAGUCUUAACCACAAACUAUGCCGACUAGGGAUCGGAUGAUGUAAUUUUUAAUGACUCAUUCGGCGCCUUACGGGA
rnacentral:rRNA from 1 species